UGGUACAGCAUAGACAGUUCAGAAUGAGGACAAGACUUUGCCUUUCUUUCCUUUCUGGGCUUGCAUCUGGAGUCACCUUCUGAUUGGUUGGAUUCCAAUUAAAUGGUGGUGCCUCUCUUAACCCCUGAGUCAGGCUCUAAAGGGCUUCUGAGAUGGACUUCUGAAAGCCGUUGAGGGAACUGUAAAGCUGGCUGGACUGACCUGCAGGCGAUGGCACGGUGGGGUCUGGAAGGUGGAUACUGCUGCUUCCUGGCAGCUGUCAAAGCAAGAAGAGGACCAUGAAGCAAAGGGAGGCGCUGGCUGCACUUCUCCACUGGGGAAGCUGGGCGGGGGACUCUGAUGGGGACGGCUGCUUCUGCUCUGCGCUUCCAGGUGGUGGCUUUAAAGUUUAAAGGGACCAGCACUGUUGCUCUGGGCUAGGAAGCAGAGCUCACCACACCUCUCUUGGGUUGCAGGGGUAUGCGCACUCCUGUCCCCUGAGCCACUGCAAGCACUGCACAAGCCAGCCACUGCUCAAACAGGAGGUGUGUUACUUUUGAAAAUGAUCCAUGCUGUAAUGUCAUGAACCAGGAAGCUGGAGGUCUUUACCAGCUCUUUAUGCAAAUAUUUGGCUGCAGCUUGAGCUGAAGGACUUGGAAGGAGUGGGUUUUUAAAAAAUCUGCUUCAUUGUAGAGCUUGCUUUUAACCCCCUGCUUCCCCCGGAUUGGCCUGUUUGCUUGCUUCCCUGUUAUCCUGUUAUCUCCCGGAGGAAGAUGAGCCUGCCCUGAAAAAAUAAGAGGACCUUGUUUCUGCCUUUAGCCAGGUACCAACCUCAACACUUUGUAUCUUAGCUAUCACGGAGGAAUACAGACUUCUGAUCUAUCUAUGUCAUCUAAUCAUGACAGCCAAAUGAAGUAAUGAAAUACAAAAGUGCCUUAAACAAAGAGUCACUGCAAAUUCCCCAUUCGCAUUGCAUUCUGCUGUUACCUGAAAUUCUGCAAAUGGAAAUAACUAAUUUCUCUAGCUGUAAGUACCAAAUCAUAGCAAAUAUAGCUGAACUCU